rnacentral:rRNA from 1 species
AUUGAACGCUGGCGGCAGGCCUAACACAUGCAAGUCGAGCGAGCGGCGGACGGGUGAGGAAUGUAUGGGGACUGCCCGAUAGAGGGGGAUAACUACUGGAAACGGUAGCUAAUACCGCAUACUAUCGGAUAACCCAGAUGUGAGUAGCUAGUAGGUGAGGUAAUGGCUCACCUAGGCGACGAUCCCUAGCUGGUCUGAGAGGAUGUUCAGCCACCCUGGGAAUGGGACACGGCCCCAACUCCUACGGAGGCAGCCGUGGGGAAUAUUGCGCAAUGGGCGCAAGCCUGAUGCAGCCAUCCCGCGUGUAUGAAGAAGGCCCUAGGGUUGUAAAGUACUUUCAGUCGGGAGGCGUUACCGACAGAAGAAGCACCGGCUAACUCCGUGCCAGCAGCCGCGGUAAUUC